AAUGUCCUAUGAUUUGUCUGUAUGAUAGAUGCAAAUGGGGCAAUGAAGCGACGGAAAAUGCAAGCAAUUGACGUAUUCUCUCUUUCACCAGGAGAAAGAGUUGUUGUGGAAUGGAAUUGCCGACACCAACCAAUUGAUCUGUCUGGGGGGAUGAUUGCCCAAUUUUUGGGGCUUAUUGCAAGCAAUUGUCAAAACUUUCCCAUCGGAUACGAAAAGUGGCAAAAGAUUCCAGAGUGCUAUAAAGAUCAUGUGUGGAACAAUAUUAUCAAGACAAAAAUGGAGAGUGAACGAUGAUGGACAUAAGAGUUACAUUUUCAAAAGUUUGGGGAAGAAAUGGCGGGACCAUCGAUAUAACCUAUAUACUUCUGCCCAAUGUGAUCCUGAUGGUCCUCGUGAAGCCAACAUUGCAAAGAAGCCUCCUGAGGUUCCUUUAGAACAAUGGGUUGCUUUUGUUGAUUUACAGGGCUCGGCCUGAAACAAAGGCAAAGGCUGAAAAAAAUUCACAAAAUCGGACCAAGUUAACAAUGCCACACACAUUGGUCAAAAUCUUUUGCUCGCCUGUAGAAAGAGAUGGAAACCCAACUUCAUCAGCCCAUUACAAGAGCUGAAUUAUUUCAAGUCAGCCAUACAACCUAAGAUGGAUCUUUUGUAAAUGAAGAGGCUAGGGAAAAUCAUGAAGAGUUUAGUCAAUCAGACUCAAAACUCAUCCGAAAAUGAGGCAUUUAUUAAUGUUUUUGGCAAAGACCACCCUGGUUAUGUUCGAGGGUUGGGACUUGGAGUUGUCCCAACCCAAGUGUAUGGCGCAUCGGGUUGCUCAAGCAGCAGUCAUUGUUCAAGUUGGGCCACAUCAUCCGAGCUUAACGUCCUUAAGGAGACAAUGCAAUAAUUAACCCAACAAGUUCAACAGAAUCAGAUCCAAAUAGCAUUUCUCACCCAACAACUAGGAAACCAAGGCCAAAAUAUGGAAAAUACAGGAUCCCCAGCUAUUGGAAGGCGUUCAUCGCAAGCCAGUCGGUCACCUCCUGGAGAAGAAUGUUCAAACCCUACUAUAUAGGUUUCCUCCUUAAAAGCUUACAAGUUAAAUGGAGAUGGAGCAUGGUUAUAUAUAUAUUACCUAAGGAAAACCUAUUUGGAAUUUUGGACUUUGUUUAUCACUUUUGUGGUUUGAAUUUGAUCCAAAUUAGGUUACUGCUUAUUGGAUUUCUGAAUAUUACAUGAUUUUUGUGAAUUUUCAAUACUAUUAUGUUUGGAUAUGCAUGUGUAUCUUAAUUUCAGUACUAUUAUGUAUGGGUAUGGCAUUGAUUUAAUAAUGAUUUGAAUUUGUCUAAUCUAUUUGGUUGUGUAAGCAUGUGCUGCAACACAGCAAGCCAGAAGAACUAUCUGCUAUCAUUUGCAAACUCAUUGAGAGGGCUUGAGCUUCUCUGCGAAUCCAUCAAGAUCCACGAGGUUGAUGUGAUCCCCAAAUCCGGAGAAGAUAAGUUGAUAAUCUUGGAUUUGUUGGGGUGGAUUAAGGCGAAUGUUAUUAAGGAAAGGCCAGAGAUGUUCAUGAAGGAGACUCUGAGGCCUGGAGUUUUGGUACUUGUUAUGUUUAUGAUUGUAACCUUGAUACAACACUUGAAGAGAAAGAUCUAGAUGUGGUGGUUUUCAUUUCAACCAAUGUGGCUGAUGAUGCUUUCCAAAAAGAUUAUUCUAGAUGACUACUACAAUGUUAUAUUUGAAUUUGGUGUAGUUUUGAGAUGGUCUGUAGUAGUCCAUGUAAAAUUUGAUUAGUAAAAUCAUUAAAUUCCCUUCAUGGUGUUUCAA